rnacentral:rRNA from 1 species
AGGGAAUCUUCCACAAUGGACGCAAGUCUGAUGGAGCAACGCCGCGUGAGUGAAGAAGGUUUUCGGACCGUAAAGCUCUGUUGUUGGUGAAGAAGGAUAGAGGUAGUAACUGGCCUUUAUUUGACGGUAAUCAACCAGAAAGUCACGGCUAACUACGUGCCAGCAGCCGCGGUAAUACGUAGGUGGCAAGCGUUGUCCGGAUUUAUUGGGCGUAAAGCGAGCGCAGGCGGAAGAAUAAGUCUGAUGUGAAAGCCCUCGGCUUAACCGAGGAAUUGCAUCGGAAACUGUUUUCUUGAGUGCAGAAGAGGAGAGUAGAACUCCAUGUGUAGCGGUGGAAUGCGUAGAUAUAUGGAAGAAUACCAGUGGCGAAGGCGGCUCUCUGGUCUGCAACUGACGCUGAGGCUCGAAAGCAUGGGUAGCGAACAGGAUUAGAUACCCUGGUAGUCCAUGCCGUAAACGAUGAGUGCUAAGUGUUGGGAGGCUUCCGCCUCUCAGUGCUGCAGCUAACGCAUUAAGCACUCCGCCUGGGGGAGUACGACCGCAAGGUUGAAACUCAAA